rnacentral:rRNA from 1 species
GAUGAACGCUAGCGGCAGGCCUAACACAUGCAAGUCGAGGGGUAGAAGCAUCUUGCUCCUUUUAUACCUGCGCACGGGCGCGUAACGCGUAUGCAAACUACCUUGUACAGUGGAAUAGACCUGAGAAUAUUGUAUUAAUAGUCCAUAUAAUAUAAAAUUCGAAUCUUGGUUAGAUUAAGAUUGCAACUGUACAAUAUGAGGAUGCGUCCGAUUAUUUAGUUGGUAAGGUAACGGCUUACCAAGACGAUGAUGGGUAGGGGUUCUGAGAGGGAGGUCCCCCACAUUGGAACUGAGACACGGACCAGACUCCUACGGGAGGCAGCAGUGAGGAAUAUUGGUCAAUGGUCGAAAGACUGAACCAGCCAAGCAGCGUGCAGGAAGACGGUCCUAUGGAUUGUAAACUGCUUUUAUAAGGGAAGAAACUCUCUCACGUGUGAGUGUUUGAAGGUACUGUAGGAAUAAGGAUCGGCUAAUUCCGUG